rnacentral:lncRNA from 1 species
GGCCCUGCGGGGUCUUGCCCAGGCUCCAGGGCCCUUGGGGUCCCGGAGGGUCCAGCAGAAGGGUCUGUGUUUUGCCCGGGGUCCUGAGAGCGUGCUGGGGAUAGCGGGGGUGGAGUGCAGGUGUGCCCAUGGGCGCCCCGGGUCCAGGGCCCGCGGAGCCGCUCUCGGGGCGGAGACCUUGCCCCCAGGGGCACGUCAGCGGUCCUGAGCUGAGGCUCCUGCAGAGCACUCUGGGCCGCGUGUGUCUCUCCCUGCGUGGGCAGGCAGUGUCGGUGGCCGGAGCGAGGGUGUUUUCCCAUCGGGUGAGGGGGAGAGCCCCAGGGUGGGCCUUGGGGUGGAAUCGGACUCGGGGUUGGGGUGGACUCUUAAGCUGGGAGGGGUGCGGGUGGGCAGGGCCUUAGGGAGCCUGAGGGAGGUGCGGUUCCUGGGGGAAGGGUGUGGCGCCCCAGCGAAGGGGCAGUGCUGGCCACUCCGUGUGGCGCUUUGGCUGCUGGCACCCAGUGAGAGGGGGGAGGCCAGGGACAGGUGGCAGCCAGGCUGCCCACAGGCCCUGGGCGGUGGGGGGCCCGGCCCCUGUGCCUUGGGCAGCUGGGCCCCUUGCUGAGGCGUGCUUGCGCGUGUCCGUUGUCGCCCUCACCCAGCUGCUGCGGCGGAGAGACGGAGGCCAGCGCGGGGAGCGGAAGCCGGAGCCUGUCGGGAGCGACCCCGGGAAGGCCAGUCCCUCCUGCCGGAGGGAGGCGUGUUGGCGUGCGGCCGGUGGCGGGAUCGAUGGCCACCUGGUAGGCGAUGGAGAGCAGCAUGGCGGACCCCUGAUCUUGUGGCGUGCCACCGCGCGAGGCCGAGGAGCUCCCGCAGCCCAGUGCGCGUGGCGUCCUUGUCGCGGCUCUGUGGAGACUGGCGAUGGUGAGCGGCCCUGUCCUCAGUGGUGGAGAACUCGCCCUUGGGGCGCUCGUCUGUCCGGAGCCCCGGCCAGCCCCGCUUCUCGCGGGCUUUGGCCCCGGCAGGCCAGCUCCGGGGCGUGAGGGGGAGCGUCCCGUCCUGCCCAGUGGCUCGUCUGUCUGGGCACGCCCCCAAACGCUGCCGUGAUGGAGCGGUGGGAUGUCCAGGUGCGGAGGCCGUGAAUUUGCCUUGCGGCGGCGGAGCCCGUGCUCGGAUCGAUGAUGACUCCCUCUAAAGCAUUCCUUGGAAAUCUGAACAAAAUGAGUGAGAACUCACUACCGUCUCCUCAUCGAAACUGAGGUCCGGCACGUGGCGGCCACCGGGGCUCGGGGGUAGAUGGGCCCUUGGCCUUGGGCCUCUGGGUGUCAGCAGCCACUCGGGUGAGGUCUGGGGAAGGCGGCCGCCUGCCGGGCCCAGGAAGCAUGGGGCCCGUCGCCC